AUUGAACGCUGACGGCAGGCCUAACACAUGCAAGUCGAACGAGUGGCGGACGGGUUAGUAAUGUCUGGGAAACUGCCCGAUGGAGGGGGCUAACUCCUGGAAACGGUAGCUAAUACCGCAUACCAUCGGAUGUGCCCAGAUGGGAUUAGCUAGUAGGUGGGGUAACGGCUAACCUAGGCGACGAUCCCUAGCUGGUCUGAGAGGAUGACCAGCAAACCUGGAGCGAAGCCACGGUCCAGAGUCCUACGGGAGGCAGCAGUGGGGACUAUUGCAAAAGGGGCGAAAGCCUGAUGAAGCCAUGCCGCGUGUAUGAAGAAGUCCGUCGGGUUGUAAAGUACUUUCAGCGAGGAGGCGUUACUCGCAGAAGAAGCACCGGCUAACUACGUGCCAGCAGCCGCGGUAAUUC
rnacentral:rRNA from 1 species